UAGGGAAUCUUCCACAACGGGCGAAAGCCUGAUGGAGCAACGCCGCGUGUGUGAUGAAGGCUUUCGGGUCGUAAAGCACUGUUGUAUGGGAAGAACAGCUAGAAUAGGAAAUGAUUUUAGUUUGACGGUACCAUACCAGAAAGGACGGCUAAAUACGUGCCAG
rnacentral:rRNA from 1 species